UACGUAGGGUGCGAGCGUUGUCCGGAAUUAUUGGGCGUAAAGAGCUCGUAGGCGGCUUGUCGCGUCGGAUGUGAAAGCCCGGGGCUUAACCCCGGGUCUGCAUUCGAUACGGGCAGGCUAGAGUUCGGUAGGGGAGAUCGGAAUUCCUGGUGUAGCGGUGAAAUGCGCAGAUAUCAGGAGGAACACCGGUGGCGAAGGCGGCUCACUGGGCUCCACCUGACGCUGAGGCGCGAAAGCGUGGGGAGCGAACCGG
rnacentral:rRNA from 1 species